rnacentral:misc_RNA from 1 species
AUCAUCAAAACUAGUGAACACUUUACCCGAUUCAGAUCUUUUACAAAACCCCUUUUGCUCUAGGAAACCGCCUCGCCGGAAAAUCAAGAACUCCGGUGGCGCCGGAGUGAGGUUAAGGAGAGAUAUUGCAGGAGCUCCAGGUGGGAAAAGGAGCAGACCCAGUACCCCUUUACUACGAUGGAAGUAUAACGAAGACGUAAAUGACAAUGCUUGUACUUGGGAGGACAAAUCGACGGUGGAGCUUGGUCGGAAAUCUGGCCGGAAAGUUAGAAAUUUGGUUUCUGCUAGGAAAUUAGCUGCCGGACUAUGGAGGCUUCAGUUACCGGAAGUUCCUAAUAUUCCAGCUCAAAAGUUACCUCAGGCUGGUCAUAUUGAUUUACCCUUUUUCGACCAUCAUCACAUUAGAGAGAAUGAUUCACACAUUGAUGAUUCAGAGCAGAGUCCUCGAUCUGUCUCCG